GAUGAAGAACGCAGCGAAAUGCGAUAAGUAGUGUGAAUUGCAGAAUUCAGUGAAUCAUCGAAUCUUUGAACGCACAUUGCGCCCGUUAGCAUUCUAGCGGGCAUGCCUGUCCGAGCGUCAUUUCAACCCUCAGGGUCCCCGUUCCGGCGGGGAACUUGGUGUUGGGGAUCGGCCCGCCCCGUGCGGCGCCGUCCCCCAAAUUCAGUGGCGGUCUCGCUGCAGCCUCCCCUGCGUAGUAGUUACAACCUCGCAUCGGAGCUCAGCGCGGCCACGCCGUAAAACCCCCGACUUUCUGAACGUUGACCUCGGAUCAGGUAGGAAUACCCGCUGAACUUAAGCAUAUCAAUAAGCGGAGGA
rnacentral:misc_RNA from 1 species